rnacentral:rRNA from 1 species
UACAUGGGGUGCAACCGUUGCUCGGAAUCAUUGGGCGUAAAGCGCGCGUAGGCGGUUACUUAAGUCGAAUGUGAAAGCCCUCGGCUUAACCGAGGAAGUGCAUCCGAAACUGAGUAGCUAGAGUACGAAAGAGGGUCGCGGAAUUCCCGGUGUAGAGGUGAAAUUCGUAGAUAUCGGGAGGAACACCGGUGGCGAAGGCGGCGACCUGGGUCGAGACUGACGCUGAGGCGCGAAAGCGUGGGGAGCGAACAGG